AAAUUGAAGAGUUUGAUCAUGGCUCAGAUUGAACGCUGGCGGCAGGCCUAACACAUGCAAGUCGAACGGUAACAGGAAGCAGCUUGCUGUUUCGCUGACGAGUGGCGGACGGGUGAGUAAUGUCUGGGAAACUGCCUGAUGGAGGGGGAUAACUACUGGAAACGGUAGCUAAUACCGCAUAACGUCGCAAGACCAAAGAGGGGGACCCUCGGGCCUCUUGCCAUCGGAUGUGCCCAGAUGGGAUUAGCUUGU
rnacentral:rRNA from 1 species